CCCACACCCUCUUCAGGGAAGUGACCAAGGGGCUUGGCAGUGCCUGAAGCCAGUGGGCUGGGGACUCACAGCCGGGACACUCAGCGCCGUGCGUCGUUUCUCCUGGAAUAACUGGAGGUGAUUUAAUGGAACCUGGAGGCUGAGCUUCAGGCUGGCAGGAGCGGCUCCAGACUGGGCCUUCUCCGUGGCUCUGCUCCCCGCUGUCCUUGCUUGAGUGGUGGGGGCCCUGCGUCCUGUCAUACCCACCCCCACCUUUCUCGCCAAAUUGUCGGAGGCUUUUGUCACCUGGAGACGCUGUUCCUGCCAGCUCCGGUCUUGGAAAACAUGGCCCCUGCUGCCAGCUGGACGUGGGCAUUUCUGCACCCAGUGGAACCCCGCAGCCAGGAAAGACGCCUGGAAGGCUAGAGGAGAGGCGUGAUGGGGGGACCCCACGUGUGGCAACAGAGCAGCACACCCAGCUCUUCUCAGCUACCAUGUGGGAGAGAAAUGAUGCC
rnacentral:sRNA from 1 species